rnacentral:tRNA from 1 species
GGGGGUGUAGCUCAGUGGUAGAGUGCCUGCAUAGCAUGUAUGAGGCCCUGGGUUCAAACCUCAGCACCACAU